ensembl:lncRNA
CAGCCAUUCUCUCUCUGUCCGGAAGGGAAGGUGAGCGAAGAGGUAGUAUCAGCCAUUCUCUCUCUGUCCGGAAGGGAAGGUGAGCGAAGAGGUAGUAUCAGCCAUUCUCUCUCUGUCCGGAAGGGAAGGUGAGCGAAGAGGCGGUAUCAGCCAUUCUCUCUCUGUCCGGAAGGGAAGGCGAGCGAAGAGGUAGUAUCAGCCAUUCUCUCUCUGUCUGGAAGGGAAGGUGAGCGAAGAGGUAGUAUCAGCCGUUCUCUCUCUGUCCGGAAGGGAAGGUGAGCGAAGCAGCAGUAUCAGUCAUUCUCUCUCUGUCCAGAAGGGAAGGCGAGCGAAGAGGUAGUAUCAGCCGUUCUCUCUCUGUCCAGAAGGGAAGGUGAGCGAAGAGGCAGUAUCAGCCAUUCUCUCUCUGUCCGGAAGGGAAGGUGAGUGAAGAGGUAGUAUCAGCCAUUCUCUCUCUGUCCGGAAGGGAAGGUGAGCAAAGAGGUAGUAUCAGCCAUUCUCUCUCUGUCCGGAAGGGAAGGUGAGUGAAGAGGUAGUAUCAGCCAUUCUCUCUCUGUCCGGAAGGGAAGGUGAGCGAAGAGGUAGUAUCAGCCAUUCUCUCUCUGUCCGGAAGGGAAGGUGAGCGAAGAGGUAGUAUCAG